AAAAAGGCUUGGGCAGCCAAAUUUUAUCUAAAAUGUCGAGCAUGCAUACACUAUGAAAGACACAUACUCCCCUAUACUGAUAGCCACUAGUAAAUGAUAAAAAGAAAAAAAAAUAUACUGCCUAAAGCAAUACAACAUUGCCUAGCAAAUCCUAAAACUAAACUCAGAUCCCAGGCAUCUUUGAGCGACAGCUGCUGAACUUGGUAGCAUGAUUCCAGGAGGAAAAAGCACCUUUCUCAGCUAACUUAUAAUGGAUGAAUGAUGAAUCUAUUAAACCUGAUUAAUGCAGCUGGACUAGAUUGCAUUGAAACAAGCUUUUAAUCCAAAA
rnacentral:misc_RNA from 1 species